rnacentral:rRNA from 1 species
AUUGAACGCUGGCGGCAGGCUUAACACAUGCAAGUCGAACGAGUGGCGGACGGGUGAGUAAUGCUUGGGAAUCUAGCUUAUGGAGGGGGAUAACUACGGGAAACUGUAGCUAAUACCGCGUACCAUAGGAUGAGCACAAGUGGGAUUAGGUAGUUGGGGGGGUAAAGGCUCACCUAGGCGACGAUCUCUAGCUGGUGUGAGAGGAUGAUCAGCCACACUCGGACUGAUACACGGCCCAGACUCCUACGGGAGGCAGCAGUGGGGAAUAUUGCACAAUGGGCGCAAGCUGAUUCAGCCAUGCUGCGUGUAUGAAGAAGGCCUUCGGUUUUUAAAGUUCUUUCGGUAGCUAGGCGUUAACUACAGAUGAAGCACCGGCUAACUCCGUGCCAGCCGCCGCGGUAAUAC